rnacentral:lncRNA from 1 species
AUUCUCGAUGAGCGCGUUGUAGAUAAUCUUCAGAUUGUAAUUCCUCUGCGCGUCCAGUGUCCUAUUCAGCACCACCACUAAGACCUGGGUUUGCGGGUAGAGGAAAAAACCGGCUACAGGGACAGCCCCGAACGCCCGGUCCUCGGCCAGCUGCACUUUCUCCACCGCCACUCGGGAAGCGUGCAGCACUACGUAGCGGGUGGCGUUCCGGCACGCGAUCUCCACGUUGACCUCCCCGGAGAAGGUGAAGUUCUCCAUGAAGGCGGUGAGCAUCAGAUUGUAGUGCAGCGGCUUCAGGUGGCCCGACAGGCGCAGCUGCGUCCACGGCUCCCACGGCUCCCGCUCCUCCUCCGACGGCGGCUGGGCCGACGUGGUCCCCGGACUGGCCACCCCACCCGCCUCGGGCUGCCAGGAGUCCCCGCCUGCGUGGUGGUUGCGCCGGGCCGAUCCAGGGAGGCUCCCGUUGCCGCCGCGCUCCGGAAAGCCUGAGGGGCCACCGUCGGCGCCUGGCGUGGCACUCGCCCCGCACUCGUCGAAGCGCAGGCUGAGCAGCACAGCGAGCAUUGUGACCGCGAGCAAUGCCACGAGGGACACAGCGAAGGCCAGCACAAGCCGCUUGUGUACGGCGAUGUGGCGCUCCGUGGUGCGGGGUCGCACUCCCACUGAGUCUGCCCACGGGUCGGAGAGCCCCCUGCUGCCAGCCCGAAGCGCGGCGUCGUCUUCCCCCAUCGCGGCUGCGAAGGGUGAGCUGCUCUUCUCGGCCCCCUCCUCCUCCUCCUCCUCCUCCUUCUUCUUCUUCCUCUUCUUUUUCUUCUUCUUUUUCUUCUCCUCCUCUUGCUCCCCCAGCUCGCCGUCCAGGGCCAUCACACCGCCUCCUCCUCCUCCCCCGCCCCCUCUGGCACCCCCCGCGGGCGGGCCACCCGGGCCACAGCCAGAGCAGGCAUCGGAGAGCUCACGCGGGCCGAGGGCGCGCGACUGGGGAUGCUGGCCCGGGUUCUUUUAAGACGGGUUCUGGACACAAGCGACGGCAGCUUCCGCGACCCCCAUCAGCCCCGCCUCACUCUGGACACCGGGCUGUGAGCUCUGGGACGCGCCCAACUUGGAAAGCGUCUUGCUUGCCCAGCGCGCGCUACUUCUCGGACGAGCACCCGGCGGCGGGGCACAUGCUGCCCCCGCCCCUGCGCGCCUGCGGCUCCCGGCUCUCCCUCCCCUGCGCCGCGCUCUCGCCUCGCUUUCCGCGGGAGCCUUCCAACCGGUUCUCGGCUAGGGAGAAGGACGGGAGCGGUGGGAAGAGCGAGGGUGUAGAGAGGGAAGUUAGGGCUUUCGCUUUCUCCCCCCACUCCAGCGGCGGCGUUCGGUCCUCUGGGUGGAAUGUGCUCGCAGCAGCAGUGACGGCGGCCACAGCACGGGAGGCACCCGAGCCAUACACCCUGCAGCUGGAGAGAAAAGGAUGGCCGAGGUGGGAGAGACUAGAGUGAACCAGCAGGAGGAAGUCCCAGGGCCGCGAAGCUACGACGGAGAUCCGUCCUGGAAAAGCCUUCUCCACCCUGGGCACUUUAAGCGGCGGUGGCGGCAAACGGCAGGAGGUUGCAGACCCGACAGCGAGACUCCCUCAUUCCAGUCUUGCUCUGCCCUCCGGAGAUGACAAGUGAGAAAGAAGUGUCCGGCCGGGCCAUCCCCUUCAGAGAAGCAACCACUUCACAAGAAGAUUCUGAAGUUGGCCAUUUUUGAUCCCAGAACAGUUUCUCAUAGAUUAGAAAUAUUGGAGUCUACACAAAAAUCGAUAUUCAUUUACAAGAUCAUCACUAAACUUAUCUUGCAUAACCCUUUGCCUGCUACUGCCAACCUGAGAGGGGAGCUUCUGCUCUGCAGAUGGAUGGACAGCUGCUGAUCUUCACCUCCUGUCUGUUCCCACAAUUCUAAAAGAAUUAGGCCUGAGGAACUUAAUCUUCUGGUGUUCCAUUGUGAACUGACUUUAUUAAAUUUUUUCCAAAGUUCAGUGUUCUUCAGUUCUUUCUCAGAGUACAAAUUGAAGAGACACAGAGCCAGUUCCAAAUGAACUGAAAUUGUUUUGUAAAAAAUUAAUUCAAACAAUAAUGCCAUGGAAAAGCACUUUGAAUUUUUCAAUUCCCAGGCUAUUGAUUCUAAAAAAGAAACAAUUCUAAAUUAUCCACAUGUUCUCAUUUAUUAGUCUAGAGCUCUUGCCCAAAGAAUUAUUUGCCAAGGUAAUAUAUAGAACAUCAGGAUGAUUUACUUGCUUUUCUAAUACCAUUUUGCCCACAAACUCUAUGGAACUGAAAGCAUGUCAGCAGCAAAAGAAGGUCCACUAGCAGCUAUAAAAGAGAGCUUACUAAUGAACAAUAAAUAUCUAAAAGUAAAGGGAAAGGAGCCAAAUUCCAUUUUCAAAAGCCAAAAUUCUGCAGUAGGUAAAUAUCACAGAUAGCAUUGCUUAUUAUUUAUAAUCACUACUAAGAGUAAUCUAUCAUUUCUUUAAAUCCUCAAAAUAGGUCUCUGCCAGCCACAUUAACUGCCUGCAGAAAAGUUUGUUAUGACUGCCUGGUUUUGUAAAGUCCAGACAACUUUACACUAAGCUGAAUAAUGUUCAUUUACUCAAAAGCUAGUCUAAAAUUGUAGAGUUAAUGAACACUAAACCAAAGUUAGUGCUUUAACUGAAAGAUAAUUUACUGUACCCUUUGGAGUCCAGUCCGGUACCAUCAAGAUCUGGGAAAAUACAACUGGUAAGCACUUUAACUUUUUCUCAGAAAAUCAUUAUCUACUUCCUUCAUACUUACUUAACAUCUCAAGAAAAGGAAAGAAAGGGGGAAAAUAUCUAAAAUUUUAAUCUAAAUCUUUCUUAAACUGUGCAUUUCAAAUACAUAAAAUACUGUGUGAAAGGGUGUUAAAAGUAGUAUCUAGAAAUGGCUUCCAACUCUAUAACUUGGUGUAAGCCUUGUGGAAAGUAAUUUACCAACGACUGUCAAAAUUCACAAAUCUAAAGACUGUAGCAAGACUCUUGAGAUACCUUGUAACUAUUGGCAUGAUUCCUUUCUACUACAAUGAAAGUUUCUUCAGGGCAGGAAACACAUAUAUUCAUUUCUGUAUCCACAGAGUAAGCAAAGAUUCUGGGACAUACUGUCCUUCAUACGCGUAUUUCGAAUGAACGAAGGCUCCAUUUGGUAGUAUUUAUCAUCAGCUUCUUGGCCCUUACUACUCCCUUCUUUCAUUUAAAGCUUAUGUCUUAUGUCCUCUUCCCUGCCCAGCACUCUUUUUGGCUGUAUGCCUGAUAAGGGUGCUCUUCAGCUUGGCCUCCUUUGACUCUAUUCCUUCCCUGUUCUACUUUUAGAGUCUCAAUAAACUCUUGUUUCUUAUAGUGGAAAAAUGCAUUUAUAAAUCAAGACUGGGCAUUAAAUUUGCUCACUGCUGCUCAGGCAUUGUUGCUCCCGUGUCCAGUUGCUCCCAGUGAGCCACUCUAUUGGAGUUGGUCCCACAGUCAAGACCCUACUUUUCCCUAGCUCUAGCCUAGAAACUUGUCACCAGAGCAUUAAUCUACAUUUUAGAGAGGAUUACCUACCAAAAAAAAGUAUCAUUUUUCCUGAAUAAGUAAUAUGUUCUAGAAUCAGUGUGUGAUCCUCUCAGCUUCCUUUUUGGAAACCAAAUGAUGGUUCUCCUGGAGAAAGAAUUUGAGUAGAUGUUGAAACAAUUUAGGCUAUACAAUAGAGUCCUACUUGAUAGAAGAGUUAGAUUUUGAAAUCAGCAUAUAAGGUAAGAAGCACCUAAUGUCAAAUUUGCACUUGAAAAAAAUUCCUAAACUGUGCACACAUUGCAGUAAACCAUGAUUUUGUGGAUCCCUUCCUAUACAGCAACGUGCAUAUAUAGAUGUGCAUAGAAAGUAUGUGCCAUCUUACAAUAUUUUCAGUAUUUUAAUUAAGUUGAAUUUAAAUAAAUAAAAUACUCACAUGCUAUAACUCUGCUGUUUUAAGAACACUGUUACCAAUUCACUACAUUUACAUGAUGCCUAAAUAGCCAGCCAAUGCAGAAAGGUCAGUUAGAAAAUGAGGCCAGUGCUUGCCUCUCUUUCUUUCCAUUGAAAGGGUGUUACUGAGUGUCAGGGUCCACACAAAGCGGGAGCUAGAGUGGGCAUGAAGGCAGUUUGAUGGGAGUCAGGGUCUAUAGAGGGAGGGCUGCUGAGCAGGGCAGAGGCCUGGUAGAAUCAGAUGCUUGGCUCCACACAGGGAGUCCACUUUCCUAAUGCUGGAGAAGGUACAAACAUGGAAAGAGGAAAAGUUGAGAUGAAUGAUGUGUUAUUAGAUUGGAAUUGGAAGAGUGGAUAUAUAAAUAUAUAUGACAUGUAAAUAAACAUGGAUUUAAGUGUGUGUCUGUAUGUAUCCAUUGAAGGGACCUGGGAGCAACAAUGCCUGAGCAGCAAUGAGCAAGUUUAAUGCCCAGUCUUGAUUUCUAAAUGCUUUCCACUAUAAGAAACAAGAGUUUAUUGAGACUCUGAAAGCAGAACAGGGGAAGAAUAAGGAGCUUUGAACAUGUUGGGCCAGAAGGUAAGAAAGUUCUCAGAAAAACAAUGAGAACAUGACCAAAGGAUCCAGGAGCCACCUUGAAGGAGCUCCUACUGACCAAAUCUGGAACAACUUAAGCAUAUAAAUAAGUAAUGAGAGUAGUGGAUUAUAAUCCACUGCAUAAAGAGGAACCCAUGAAUCCACAAUUAUAUAGUAAGUAAAUAGAUAAAUGGGAAGAAAAUAAAUGGGUAAGAGAUUAUUUCUUAAAUUAGAAUGCCAAGUAAUAAAUACAAAAGGAAUUCAAGCAAGACAUCAAUAAAUACUAAAAUUAGUGGAUGAAAGUGAGAUGAGAAACAGAAUUUUACAGAGUUUCAAAGUAUCUUUCUACAAAAUGUUUAAUUACAAAGGGAGAAAAAGUUAACAUUAUAGUGGAGAAACCUAACAGACACUAUCUGAUGAAGUGAUCAAAGUUAACACUCCCAGUAAUUGGAAAAAUCAGUAUCAUAUGUCACCUAAUCAAAUGCAAUGAGAAAAACACAACAUCACUUCUCUAAAAUUUAUAACCUGGUUAUAAUCAAGAGGAAACAUUGGACAACAGAAAUUUGGAGAACUUCUAUUGAAUAACUGACCUUGGAAAAUGUCAAGGCCAUGAAAGUCAAGUAGAGAUUGCAGAACUCAUUCAGACUAAAAGGAGAUAGAGAGACAUGGCAGACAAUGGAGUGUAACGUCUUCUCCUGAACUGGACCUUUUUACUAUAAAGACAUGAGAACAACUGGCAAAACUUGAAUCGGGUCUCUGGGAGAAGUAUAUUCAGGAGUCCACCAUACUGUUCAUGCAAAUUUAUUAAAUUCAUUCAUGUAAAUUUUCUGUAAGUUUGAAAAUGAAAAAAUAAAACCCACUUUAUUCUUAUUAAUUCUUUUUUUAGGCUCUCACUGUGCAGCUCUAAAGUUAUAUAAGCCAAGAAAGGGACAUUAAUGGGAAAUUAAUGACAGCAUCAAUAAAAUGGAAAAGAAGAUGAACUAAUUACAUAACAUCAACCAAUCAGUUUUUUCAAAACAGGUUUUACUGUUUGGGGUUUGUCUACUCUGUUGGCAUCCUGUAGGCACCAGCUUUGCCUAUUCACAUUUUCCUUUCACGUAGCUUGUGUACCCAUUUUAAACACAGCAAAAGAUACUUUGAGAAUACCUUCUGCACUACUUUUAUCUUUUAUUUUCUUUCCUUUUCUUCUUACCUUCCUUCCUACUCUCCUUUAUUUUUGGAAGCUGCAUUCACCCUACUGGAAGAACCUAUUCUGAACAUAAAGUAAUUUGCCUCAUCCUGCUUAUCCCCAUGACAAAUAGUUUAAGUAGCAUCUGGUGAGACAAGAGAAAAGAGUAACUAUACAUUUACCCUUCUGCACCCUCAUCUUCUACCCAGCUGUCUCUCCUCCCUUUUCCUCUUUAUCAAUAUUUUCCCCUUCUUUGGACCAACUAUUUAAACUGUUCUUAAAAUUUAUUAAAUAGAAGUGGACCUCCAGCAAUUUUUCUUGCUCCUAUAAUCUAAAGUAUUCAAACUCCUCACUUGAAACAUGAAAGAAAAUCAGGAUGUAAACGUUCCCCUUUUUAAACUUUUUUAUUUUCUAAACCAUCUUCCUCUGCAUAAAGUCAGUCUGCCACUCUAAACAGCACUUGUCAGGAAUGUGUGAAGUUAUUAAAAGAGAAGGAACUUUAGAAGAUCUAAAUUCAAAUUACCUUGACUACCAUUCUUUAGUAAUAAAAGGGGAGAUAGAAAGAAGACAGAAACCACCAGAUUUUCUAAAAUCUCCAGCAAUAUUCAUCCAUCUAAAGCAUCUGAGAAACAAUGACCCAAGUUAUAUUGGGAGAGAUAUUUUAGCUCUCUUGCCUGAAUCUAACUCACAGAAACUGGGGAAAUAUCAAAAAUCACUUAUUCUAAAUGUUUCGGUCAAGAAGUGUUUUGGAUUUCAGAUUUUGGAAUAUUUGCAUAUACAUAGUGAGAUAUCUUAGGGGUGGGACCCAAGUCUAAACACAAAAUUCAUUUAUGUUUUAUAUGCCCUUUAAACACCAUAGCCUGAAGUUAAUUUAAUAUAAUAUUUUUAAUAGUUUUGUGCAUGAAACAAAGUUUUGACUGUUUGACUGUAACCCAUUACCUAAAGUCAGGUGUGGAAUUUUCCACUUGUUACCUGGAGUGCAUCAUGUUGGCAUUGAAAUAGUUUUGGAUUUUGGAGCAUCGGAUUUCAGAUUUUUGGAUUAAGGAUGUUCAACCUGUAUUAGAUAGCCUGGUGCUUUUCUCCUCAUAAUCACUCCAAUAAUAAUGAAAGGAUAAUCAUAAAGAUGACAACAAUUACAACAAAGAUGAUAAAAAAAAUUAAGCCACUUGGCAACACUAUUUGUGGCCUCAUGAAAAUGACUCCCAAUGUCAUAAUUCCCUCUGAGAUCCCCACAAUAAAAAACUAUUGGAACUAGAACUGCAUACCGCAGUUAUUGGUCAUUUCACAUGGUGCCAUGUUCAGGCAUAGCUGGUAUGAGUGCUAUUUGCUUUCAUCCAGGGGAGCCAUUCUCAGUAAGCUUCAUCUCUGUGCUGAUGAGAGCCUGGGUCUGUUCUUCUAGCCCAGGAUCUUCACAUCUCUCAAAGGACUGCAGCUCUCCUUAGAUAUUCUGUGUACCACAGGAAGGGGCUGUACCAAUUUACAGCAAUCUCUUUUCAACAUGGUAACUAAUGCAAGUAUUAGACCACAAGGCUUCUCUUUGGAAACUUGUCCAAAGGCUGUCAUCUCUGCUAUUCAUUCAUUCAUUCAUUUAGUCAACAAAUAUUUAUUAAGCAACAAACGUGUGCAAGGCACUGUUCUUGGCAUAGUGAACAAAACAGAUUAAAAUUCUGAUCUUGUGGAACUUGCAUUCUAAUAAGGGAGACAAUUUUUUUUUAAAAUGAAGUAAAAUAGAUAGGGCGAUAGGGAGUGCUGGGCCCAGGAAGAAAGGGUUACAAUACUAAAUAUGAUAGUUAGGGAAGCCCUCAAAUUUGAACAAG